ACCUGAGCUGAAGGCAGAUGCUUAACAACUGAGCCACCCAGGGACUUCCAUGAAUGCCAUGGCAUUUGAGUCAGAAGGACCAGACCCACUGAUCUUGGACAAAGGGAGAAAGGCCAUGGUUCCCUUUCAGCCACGCUGAAAGCCUUGCUUCGUGGCAAAGGGGGACCAUGACUCUUCAGCCAAGCCAGGAAGACAUGGAUACAGUGCCUUCCCUCAACAAUGCAGGAGCAGCCUCUUGGCGGGCCUCUGGCUGACGGAGAAUUCUGAGUCGUGGGGCUGAGAAGUGGCAAGUGGUGGAAAACUGGAGUAUGCCUGUUCAAACCAGUCUGGAAUGAUUUCAAAUUCUAGAAGGUGAACUCAGAAUCACAGAGCAGAACACAUUGGGCCAUUGUAAUGGUAGGCGGGUGGAUGAGGAGGGAGUUCACCAUCAGUUCAGGGGAACUUUGUCCUUGCUGGCUGCUGUAUGCUAGAUCAUGCAGAAUAAAUGGUCUAAAAGGC